GCACUGCUGAGGGGGCCCAAAAUAGGACGAAACGGCCGUCCAGUGC
rfam:Schistosoma mansoni strain Puerto Rico chromosome 2, complete genome